rnacentral:rRNA from 1 species
GACGAACGCUGGCGGCGUGCUUAACACAUGCAAGUCGAGCGGUAAGGCCCUUUCGGGGGUACACGAGCGGCGAACGGGUGAGUAACACGUGGGUGACCUGCCCUCAGCUCUGGGAUAAGCCUGGGAAACCGGGUCUAAUACCGGAUAUGACUCCAUGACGCAUGUUGUGGGGUGGAAAGCCUUGUGCGGCUGAGGAUGGGCCCGCGGCCUAUCAGCUUGUUGGUGGGGUGAUGGCCUACCAAGGCGACGACGGGUAGCCGCCUGAGAGGGCGACCGGCCACACUGGGACUGAGACACGGCCCAGACUCCUACGGGAGGCAGCAGUGGGGAAUCUUGCGCAAUGGGCGAAAGCCUGACGCAGCGACGCCGCGUGAGGGAUGACGGCCU